GGGCACGUGGCGGAACUGGCAUACGCGCACGCUUCAGGAGCGUGUGGGAGCAAUCCCGUGGAGGUUCAAGUCCUCUCGUGCCCA
rnacentral:tRNA from 1 species